rnacentral:rRNA from 1 species
GUAGGGUGCGAGCGUUAAUCGGAAUUACUGGGCGUAAAGCGUGCGCAGGCGGUUUUGUAAGUCAGAUGUGAAAGCCCCGGGCUCAACCUGGGAACUGCGUUUGAAACUACAAGGCUAGAGUGUAGCAGAGGGGGGUAGAAUUCCACGUGUAGCAGUGAAAUGCGUAGAGAUGUGGAGGAAUACCGAUGGCGAAGGCAGCCCCCUGGGUUAACACUGACGCUCAUGUACGAAAGCGUGGGGAGCAAACAGGAUUAGAUACCCUGGUAGUCCACGCCCUAAACUAUGUCAACUAGUUGUCGGGGAAGAAAUUCCUUGGUAACGAAGCUAACGCGUGAAGUUGACCGCCUGGGGAGUACGGCCGCAAGGUUA